rfam:Monodelphis domestica chromosome 2, whole genome shotgun sequence.
CCAAAGGCUCUUUUAAGAGCCACCCCCAGAAUCUUUGGGAGAGCUG